GCCCUCGGUGGCUCAGAUGGAUAGAGCGUCUGCCAUGUAAGCGGAGAUCCCGGGUUCGAGUCCCGGUCGGGGCA